rnacentral:rRNA from 1 species
GACAGAGGAUGCAAGCGUUUAUCCGGAAUGAUUGGGCGUAAAGCGUCUGUAGGUGGCUUUUUAAGUCCGCCGUCAAAUCCCAGGGCUCAACCUUGGAACUGCCUUUGAUACUGGGGAUCUCGAGUCCGGAAGAGGUUGGUGGAACUGCGAGUGUAGAGGUGAAAUUCGUAGAUAUUCGCAAGAACACCAGUGGCGAAGGCGGCCAACUGGUCCGGUACUGACGCUGAGGUGCGAAAGCGUGGGGAGCGAACAGG